UGUACCCCCUGGAAAAUCUCUGCAUACCCCCAGGGGUAUGGGUAUCCCUGGUUGAGAACCACUGCUCUAGGCAGCCCCUUGACAAGGUUUGCCUAAAGGGAAGAUACCACCCUAGCUGAGACUUUGUGGUAACAGCUAUUUUAGGGGCCUAGUGAUCAGAUCUGCACCUCUCUGCUUGUCAAAGCCCCUACAUGGGACACAAUGUGUGACCCGUAUUGAGAGACGGGCAAAAUAUUUAUGGGAUUUCUCCUUUAUGGUACUGUACGUCUACUGCACUGGAGAGUUGGGUUUGUAACAUGGGCACCCUAACGAGAGUCAGUUUGCCAAAAACAGUGAAGCCCAGAUAACAUAGCUAGAGACAUAGUGUAAAUAGGUAUUUCUGUAGCCUCAGUUGAAUUAGUCUUUAUGGGGGAUGUAAACAAUCCUCAGCAAUAGGAAUGAGGGGGGCACCAGGGUUGUGUGGGGCAGAGAGCGCUUUGGCAUUAGUGAGCGAGAGGAGCCGUUCCCUGUAGUCUCCAGGAAGUCAUUGCUCCUGCUCAGCACCAGGGUCGCGGAGAUCUUGUUGCAGUUUCUGGGGCUCCUGUGGGGGUGUACAGGAGACACCGACCAUGGCUUGGUGGGGGGACUUUGUCGUUAAAGUUUGUGGGAGGGUACGUGCUGCAGAAAAUCCCCUGGCAAGUCUGUUGCAUUCUCCCGGAGUUCGUGGCUGGUUCUCCAGCCCGGCCGCUGUCUCCUGGAUGCAGCGCUCGCUCCAUGCAGGCGGCGGGGGGAGGAAGUCAGCCAGGAGCCAUGGGUGGGGUUUGCGCCGAGAGGGCCAGGGAGAGAUUAGCCCGGAGGGAAGACAAAGAAACUAGUUCGGCUCCGGUGUGGGCAGUGAAGGAUUAAAACCAUAGAGCUGGCAAAGCCUCCAGCUGGUAGAGAGGGCUGCAAAGUCCUGCGCAGGGGCAGGGGAGUUGAAUAGUGAGCCGCUUCCUCUUCCCUUCCCGCAGUCGGUGCGUGCGGAACCCGCCGGGGAGGGACGAGCCCGGGCCUGCGGGCAGACAGGGGGCGAGGCCAACAAAUCGGUGCCUCUGGGAAUUGCAGGCAACAACGGGGGAAGUGAAACAGGAGCCACGUCUCGGAAAGAAAGGAGAAAAGUCGGGCAGGGUCCCCCCAGCCAGCUCCGCUCCGGGGAAGAGUGGAAGGAAGUUUGGGGGCGAUUUGGGGGAGGCAGCCGCAGGGGUGUUAGCAAGUGGGUUAUAGCAGAAAGGAGGAAGUGGGUGUAGAGGAAGGUGGUUUAAAGGAUAGUACAGGUUCAGGGGGGUGGUGGAAGAGAGCUGUGGUUAGGGGAGACUGGCCUCGGGGAAGUAUAGUACAUUGGGGUGGUAUGGAGGUUUGUUUAUUAAAAGCAAACAAAUACAGCAGCAGAAAAGGUGAAAUUAACCAGCAGCAAGCAGCUCAGCGUGACCAGGGAUGGGUUAUAAAUGCUUUAAAAUAAAAAGCUGGGACGCGGAAGUGUAAAGAAACAACUAUACUUUUUGAAGGUAAAAAAGCAUGUUAGAUGGCAGAGACAGUGGUGAAACUUACAAUGCACCAACCGGGACCAUUCAUCUUGUUUGUUAUGCUGGAUCCUUAUCCCCAUGGUCCUCCUGUAUGUUUGCCUGCCUAGAUUUUUGGCUUUUUGGUCCAGUGUGCACAAAGGAAGCUUUCCCCCCAGACUGUAAGCAGUCUUAAAAUUGUAACUGUCUGGAGCUAUAGUGCAGAUCAGACCUACAGGCAACUUGAGCCAUUACUUCGGAACUGGCUAAAAGUGGUUCGGGCCACCUGAGGGCCUGCGGUGGAAUCCUGCCCCUUUUAAGUCAAAGGAAGACUUGCUGUUAAUCUCAAUUCGGUGGCUUUUGAGGAAAUGGUGGGAGGGAGGGGGGCAUAAUUUGGGGGGCAUCUGUGGGGAGGCACAAAGAGGCUUCCGGAGAACACCUCACUGCUAAUCAGCUGUGCCCUCCUCCUAGCCCCUCCAUGUUCCCCUGAACUGGAUUGGUCUCGAGGAGGGAAGGUGAUAACCCAUGAGCUGAGAGGAAGGCAUGAUCUACUGGUUGGAGGCAGCAAGGGGGAGUGGAAGGGAGUCCUGGACUUCAUACUCCACUUCAGGGACUAGUGGUGGGGAGGGAGAGGGCUCUGCAUAGCUCUUUUCAGCAUCACAGGAUUGUAGUGGUGUGAAGUAGUUUAUUCAUUUCAAUGAGAUGUUCCCAGAUGAAUCAGAAGACCCACCCCCUGCCCCCCGGGGAUGAAUACAGCCUGCCAUGAUAGUUCUGAGAGAUGUGAGCGGACCCAUUCCUCUCAGUGGAUGUUCUCCUUCCUUCUUUCCCAAAGUCUUCUUCCCUAGCUCCUGUUGUGGAAUACCAGUGAUCAAGAUGAUCUCACUAUGCAGGAGUAGAUCACAAGAUACAGACACCAUGCUUGUAGGAGAGGAAAUGUCCUGAACCAGAAAUUACCCUGGAGGGCAAGACCUUCCUGAUUGUAGACUAUCCAUUGUGGUGUUCAGCUGGAACGUCUCAUUUUUUGAGAAGGAAAUGUGUGUUUGGCUCUGAAUGGAAACACCUACGCUUGCGGAUGAAGGGCCUGACUUCCUCCUAACAGUCCUGUGUGGAUACAAAAUUUAUGUAUGCAGAUAUCUGUGGACUUGCAGGGCUUUACCGGG